CUUUGCAGAAGGCACAAGGCAAAGCUUCUACAAUGGGCUCCUGCAUCAUGUGUGGUUCAACUGCACCCAGCGGCCGUUUGACACAGGGCUCUGCUGACUGAAGUGAUCCCCACGGGCUCCCGGCAGAGGAGGGAGCGGGAAGCUGCACGGCUCACACAAUGUUCCUCUCACUCGCGGCUUGUGACCGGCCCAUGGCAUUGGCCAGAUGGCUUUUGGCCUCUCCUUCGCGCCCGCUGUCACCACCGCGGUUCCGGCGACCUGACAGGCGAUGUACUUGGCCAGAUCUGCAUGCGACCUGUCUGCCAUAUGUAAUAUCAAAGCCUCUGUCAGCACGGAGCUCAAUGGGAACAAAAGAGAGGCCUUCAUUAAUGAUUAACUGUUCUAAAAGCCCCGGCUUUUGUAUUCCCAUGGUGCCGAGGCUAUCUGGCCGCCAUGUGACAUGCUCGCAGCGUUUUUCGAGCAGAUUGGGGAAAGCUAGUGAGCAAACACAGGUGCUUUGGAGCGGCGUUGGCGACGCUGUCAGGGACAACCACAAACAAGAGCAGCUAUGCCUGGCUAAAUGAACCGACCCCUCCCGCCCCCCACUCCCCCAACACCCCCCAUCUCCCUGUCACUGGCUAACUUGUUUGCCAGGCCGCACAGCCUUCCUCAUGGAGAGUCCCUGCACCCCCACCCCACAAGUCCAAUGUCCACCACAACUUCUCACACCCUCCAAAGAAACAAACAAAUAAAAGUGAGGACGGCCGACCGCUUCUUUGAGGUGAUGGCAUUUGCGGCGGUCUUGACUAGUGGAAGAGCAAACAAAUUAACGGUGUUCGAGUUUUCACUUUCCAAACCAAACUAAAUGUCUUUUAGUUCAAGUGGGGCAAUUCCACUGACCCCGGUGUCAACCGCUGUGUAAGGGCUUGCACGCUCAUGCACUUGAAAUGACCAGAACAAAAUUACACACGACUCGAGUACGACUGCACACAAAGCUGGCGUAUGAAUUCACAGCAAAGUGACACGUCACAAACAAAUCUUAAUAAAUAGUACUUUUUUUUAUUUUUUUUUAACAGCAAAACUUGAACCGCCAGUACGGAGCAAUUAACCUUUUCAUCCAGACUGACUUGAUUGUUCACACCGACUGAGCUCCUGUCUCGCGCUUCAUUUUGAUAAGACAAUCUGAUGAUAGGAUGCCGUUAUCUUAACACGGCUUUCCGGGCGGGAGACAAAUGAACAAUGUGUGAUAACGGGAACAAAAGCUCACCUCUUAUUGGCCCAAGCCGCCUCCUGAUGGAAAAAUCACCAGGAUGGAAAAGUCACCUUUUCAUUUUCAAUUUUCUUCCUUGGCCUUUUAAAAUCAGUCAUACGUUUAUAAUCACUUUUGUUGGUGUUUUAAUUUCAUGGUCUGCAAUUAACUGAGCCUAUAAAGCAUUUAUUGUCUGGAAAGAUGAUAAAAAUGUACUUAAACAAAUAUUUGAAAUAAACACAAGAGGAAAUUAAGUUUUAAACACAUGGAAGACUGAUGUGCAACUCGAUCAGGGGGCAGUAAAAAUAUAAAAAGAGUGGGGAAAAAAAUGUCUAUUUCGAUUUGUGCAGCAGGGAAAGCUGCGCAAAGAAACAAUGUGUAAGAAAAAAACAACAACUUGCAAAUGUGCUGUAUUAUCUUGAAAUAAAAAUACGUCCCCUCAA